AUCGCCGCCAACUUCACUGGCUUCUCUUCACUUUUUUAAAGAACGUGGAGCGAACAUCACCGCGUUGGAAGCAAUAAAAAAAAAAUAAAAAUGUGAAUCUGUGAUUACUAGCCGCUGCGUUGAAGCGCUGGCAAUUGUGAAUUGAAACAAAAUGGCCUCUUACGCACAACACGUGUUUUCUGGCAGAGUCGGAGAGACGAUCGUUCUUUCGACUUGGACUCGGAAUAUAAAUGAGGUCAUCAGCGUGAAAUGUUCAUUGCAACGUCAAUAUCAUGUAUCAAACGUGGCCCACUAACACAGUGUUAAAGAGAUGAAGAAAACCACCAUCGAUUGUCGUCGCGUCAUAUGCCCAAACAAGGAUCUCUCCUUUAAAAAGAUGUAAAGCAGAAUAAAUACGUCAAUGGUUCUUUUAUAAAGUCCAUUAUCCAGAAAGGCUUGGAACCUUGGAUGAACACAAUUUGUCUCUUGUGGAACCAUGAAUAAAUAAAAUUCAAUGUGUUUUUAAAAA